rnacentral:rRNA from 1 species
GACGGAGGAUGCAAGUGUUAUCCGGAAUCACUGGGCGUAAAGCGUCUGUAGGUGGUUUAAUAAGUCAACUGUUAAAUCUUGAGGCUCAACCUCAAAAUCGCAGUCGAAACUAUUAGGCUAGAGUAUAGUAGGGGUAAAGGGAAUUUCCAGUGGAGCGGUGGAAAUGCGUAGAGAUUGGAAAGAACACCAAUGGCGAAAGCACUUUACUGGGCUAUUACUGACACUGAGAGACGAAAGCUAGGGUAGCAAAUGGGG